CUUAUCUCUGUGUGCUGCGUAGCGAAUUUCUUCUCAUGGCGAAUCAGAAGAUUGUCUCAUUUUUUGCCCUGCUCUGCCUUCAAGUGCUACCUGAAAGAUGAAGUUGAUGCACAUUGCUGAAGUGAAGGUAUUUCAGCUCUGUUUCCUUGACACGUGUGUAAAGAAGUGCUCAUUGUGGGAUCUCUGUGUCCUUGGUGCUAAUUUGGGCUCCUCUGGAGAAACACAGUAGAUGCAAACUAAACAUUCCUAACAGUAGCUAUAUGUAUGCUUAAUGGCGUCUGAGGAAGGAACGUCUGGGCCUGGAUGUAAGACUUGUCCCUCGGAUAUAGUUCCUAUACUGACAGACUUGUAGUUGUGAACAGCUCAGAAGUAUCAGUCAAAGGUAGUGGGUUAGAGUUCCAUCUUUGGGCUGAGCAAAGGGGGUGCAGUUUUCCUUCUAACUUAUGAGUAUGCUUCUGCUAUGUAAUACCCUGGUGUUUUGCUUUUGAAAUACAAAAAAUUGUAAUGUGUUGCCAAGGAAAAUCUCUUAAGUGUUCUAUAUAUGCUGCUGCAAAUGCAGAAUCUGGCUCUAUUGUCCUUAUUCAGGCAAAAUUCCCCAUUGACUUAGGAGACUGCAGGAUCAGGGAUCCAUUUAUCACCAAAAGCAUGUUCUGAUUCAAGGAUUUGAAGAAUCUCACAAGCUAACAAAUGUUUGUAUAAAGCCCAUGUACAGCCUUGAAGCGAUCUCACGGUAUUUGCGUGGUGCUGUGGACUGAGAAGGGAUUUGAGGACUGAAAUGCGCAGUGAGUGGGUAGAGCUCUGCCAUGUCCUGGGCUGAAGGUUGUGUAUCUUACCUUGGGGUGACCUGUAUUUUGAGUAUUCACAUAGCUUUGGUGCAUAGGUGGCUGAGUGAGUGUUGUUGGAAUGUGUAUUGCGUGCUUGAAAGUCUGCAAGGAGGAUAAGGUGUGUUGUGGGGGGGUGUGACAUUAGUUGGGGUGUGGUCAGUGAGCUUUUGUGGAAGGAUUCGCUAUAGAUGGACAUGUGCUUGUGCAUCUCUUCACCAAGACAGGCUGGUUCGUUUUGCCUGUGUAGAGUGGUCGGCAGCGGUAGGUUUUAACAAGUGGUGGUGCAUCUGUUGGACUCACAGAGAUCAGACCUUAAUGUAACUGAUGCUGUUCAAGAAACCAAAUGGUUAGUGCUGGAUGUAAUGGCGUGUUGCUGCUGGCAUGGUGUUCCCUGGUGAAGAGAAGCUUUGUCAGCUGUGGAAUAGAACAUAGCAUGUUUAUUUUGUCUGUCUUUUAAACACCGAAGACUGACUUUAUUCUCCUG
ensembl:lncRNA